rnacentral:rRNA from 1 species
UACGUAGGGUGCAAGCGUUGUCCCGGGAAUUAUUGGGCGUAAAGAGCUCGUAGGCGGUUUGUCGCGUCUGCUGUGAAAACGCGAGGCUCAACCUCGCGCCUGCAGUGGGUACGGGCAGACUAGAGUGCGGUAGGGGAGAUUGGAAUCCUGGUGUAGCGGUGGAAUGCGCAGAUAUCAGGAGGAACACCGAUGGCGAAGGCAGGACCUCUGGGCCACUACUGACGC